rnacentral:rRNA from 1 species
UGCAGUCGAACGGAAAGGCCCUUCGGGGUACUCGAGUGGCGAACGGGUGAGUAACACGUGGGUGAUCUGCCCUGCACUCUGGGAUAAGCCUGGGAAACUGGGUCUAAUACCGGAUAUACCUCAUGGACUGCAUGGUUUGUGGGGGAAAGCUUUUGCGGUGUGGGAUGGGCCCGCGGCCUAUCAGCUUGUUGGUGAGGUUAUGGCUCACCAAGGCGACGACGGGUAGCCGGCCUGAGAGGGUGACCGGCCACACUGGGACUGAGAUACGGCCCAGACUCCUACGGGAGGCAGCAGUGGGGAAUAUUGCACAAUGGGCGCAAGCCUGAUGCAGCGACGCCGCGUGAGGGAUGACGGCCUUCGGGUUGUAAACCUCUUUCAGCAGGGACGAAGCGCAAGUGACGGUACCUGUAGAAGAAGGACCGGCCAACUACGUGCCAGCAGCCGCGGUAAUACGUAGGGUCCGAGCGUUGUCCGGAAUUACUGGGCGUAAAGAGCUCGUAGGUGGUUUGUCGCGUUGUUCGUGAAAACUCACAGCUCAACUGUGGGCGUGCGGGCGAUACGGGCAGACUUGAGUACUGCAGGGGAGACUGGAAUUCCUGGUGUAGCGGUGGAAUGCGCAGAUAUCAGGAGGAACACCGGUGGCGAAGGCGGGUCUCUGGGCAGUAACUGACGCUGAGGAGCGAAAGCGUGGGGAGCGAACAGGAUUAGAUACCCUGGUAGUCCACGCCGUAAACGGUGGGUACUAGGUGUGGGUUUCCUUCCUUGGGAUCCGUGCCGUAGCUAACGCAUUAAGUACCCCGCCUGGGGAGUACGGCCGCAAGGCUAAAACUCAAAGAAAUUGACGGGGGCCCGCACAAGCGGCGGAGCAUGUGGAUUAAUUCGAUGCAACGCGAAGAACCUUACCUGGGUUUGACAUGCACAGGACGUGCCUAGAGAUAGGUAUUCCCUUGUGGCCUGUGUGCNGGGGUGCAUGGCUGUCGUCAGCUCGUGUCGUGAGAUGUUGGGUUAAGUCCCGCAACGAGCGCAACCCUUAUCNUAUGNUGCCAGCGCGUAAUGGCGGGG